rnacentral:tRNA from 1 species
GCCUGGGUGGCUCAGUCGGUUAAGCGUCUGACUUCAGCUCAGGUCAUCUCACGGUCUGUUGGUUCUAGCCCAGUGUCGGGCU